rnacentral:sRNA from 1 species
GAGCUGCAUAUUUUCAGCAUGUUUCAAUUUCUGCGAUUAAUUUGUGGAAAUUGACGAAAGGAAUGUCUGCAAGAGUCAAUUAUAACAAGAAGAUGAUCUUUAUGCGCCGCAAGCGAAUCAAUCAGGCCAAAAUUCGACGCCUCCAAACGCCAUUCGAUCGAAGACUUCUUCAAUUGGAGCGCUCCAUCAAUAAGCUGCAGAGAGAAGUCAACCUCUACAAGAAGAAGUACUCGCCCCGAGUCAGAGCUCCACGGAAGCCAAGGACAAUGGUCCGGGGAUUCGACGAAUUCAACUUCCAGCGCCUUCGUACUCUCGAGGCUAUGGCCGUCAAACUUUUGUUUUCCUCUCAUCAUCCCAUAAAAUAAGUGGAACACUUCUCAUACCAUAAUUGAGCUUUAAAAUUCAUACCUCAUCUGCAAAAAUAAGGACAUUUCCAUUCAAAAUGGUACUAUAUUUAUGAA